rnacentral:misc_RNA from 1 species
AAGUCGUAACAAGGUUUCCGUAGGUGAACCUGCGGAAGGAUCAUUAAUGAAUUGAAAAGAGUCGUGGAUCAACUUCCAGGCUCGACCCUCUUCAUUUUCCUACCCUGUGCAUUUUUUAUUACCAAAGGUGGUCCUAACGUGCCGAAAGCUGCCUCUAUUAAGCAGUGAUUACGUUUUUAGGCUGCCGCUUUUUUACAUUCAAACUCUACAAGUUAAUGUAUGUUACAAAAACUAUAACAAAGAAAAACUUUCAACAACGGAUCUCUUGGCUCUC